rnacentral:rRNA from 1 species
ACGGGAGGCAGCAGUGGGGAAUAUUGCACAAUGGGGGAAACCCUGAUGCAGCGACGCCGCGUGAGUGAAGAAGUAUUUCGGUAUGUAAAGCUCUAUCAGCAGGAAAGAAAAUGACGGUACCUGACUAAGAAGCCCCGGCUAACUACGUGCCAGCAGCCGCGGUAAUACGUAGGGAGCAAGCGUUAUCCGGAAUUACUGGGUGUAAAGGGAGUGUAGGCGGGACUGUAAGUCAGAUGUGAAAUAUGCCGGCUCAACUGGCAGACUGCAUUUGAAACUGCGGUUCUUGAGUGAAGUAGAGGUAAGCGGAAUUCCUAGUGUAGCGGUGAAAUGCGUAGAUAUUAGGAGGAACACCGGUGGCGAAGGCGACUUUCUGGACUGUUACUGACACUGAGGCACGAAAGUGUGGGGAGCAAACAGGAUUAGAUACCCUGGUA